AACGAACGCUGGCGGCAGGCCUAACACAUGCAAGUCGAGCGAAGCCUUCGGGCUUAGCGGCGGACGGGUGAGUAACGCGUGGGAACGUGCCCUUUGGUCCGGAAUAGCCCCGGGAAACUGGGAGUAAUACCGUAUGUGGUCGAGAGACGAAAGAUUUAUCGCCAAAGGAUCGGCCCGCGUUGGAUUAGGUGGUUGGUGGGGUAAUGGCCUACCAAGCCGACGAUCCAUAGCUGGUUUGAGAGGAUGAUCGGCCACACUGGGACUGAGACACGGCCCAGACUCCUACGGGAGGCAGCAGUGGGGAAUCUUAGACAAUGGGGGAAACCCUGAUCUAGCCAUGCCGCGUGAUCGAUGAAGGCCUUAGGGUUGUAAAGAUCUUUCAGUGGGGAAGAUAAUGACUGUACCCACAGAAGAAGCCCCGGCUAACUCCGUGCCAGCCGCCGCAGUAAUAC
rnacentral:rRNA from 1 species